CUCGGAUUAGUUCAGUCUGGUUAGAAUGCCUGCUUUGGGAGCAGGAGGUCGAGAGUUCGAAUCCCUCAUCCGAGACCA
rnacentral:tRNA from 2 species